CCAAAACAUAUACCUUGGCAUGAGACUGGUGGCAAACAUCACAUGGAUACUUACUGAAUUAAGACAGAAGGACAGUUGAGAGAAGAUCAGUGUGCAGCUCUCGGCUACUUCUCCAGCACUCUGCUUGCCAUGUCUGUCUCCAGGCUCCCUGUCACAAUGACCAUGGACUCCUCUAAACUGUUAAUACUGAGUACAUUCUUCUGAAACUAUUACGCACAUGAUACAACAUGAAACAAGACAGUAAUUCAAAUGUAACCUGGGAUCUCAUGGGUUUUCAAGAACAAGGUCUACAGUUCAAGAAGACAGAAACAUAGGCUAAGAUGUGUAAGCAAAGAACUCUGAAAGCUUAUGUUGAAUUGGAAGGAAUGAUAUACACUCAAAAGCCAACUACCUUUAAAAAGACAAGAUACUAGCUAGGCACAGCAGUGCACAUCUUUACUCCUAGCACUUACUAGACAGGCAGGCAGAUCUCUGAAGUUCCAGGUCAGCCAGCCUCAAAAAAAACAAAGAAAACAAAACCAAACAGACAAAACAGACAAAGAGACAUACACACACAAAUCCACACCCACAACGCACUAUGCAUUUCCCAACGCUAUGCUUUGAAUAGAACCCCAAACAAUGAACAACCUAGGUGGCAGUGUUCCUUGUACCUGUACGGUGAUGCUGAAACACCAUUUUUCCCUAAAAGAAACCAAGAUUAUAAGACAUAGGGCUGAUUCCAGAUCUAGCACAGGAAAUAUACAGAGGAAGCCGAAACACUGUUAUACCAAAGAGCUGCAUAACUAAAGACAGCUAAAAAGACAUGUAUAAGAACCAGGAGCUUGGGGGCUGGAGAGAUGGCUCAGCGGUUAAGAGCACUGACUGUUCUUCCGAAGGUCCUGAGUUCGAAUCCCAGCAACCACAUGGUGGCUCACAACCAUCCGUAAUGAGAUCUGACGCCCUCUUCUGGUGCAUCUG
rnacentral:lncRNA from 1 species